AUUGUAUUUAUAAUAGCCAGUUGUGUCAUAAAUUUUUCUUCGAUAUUUCGGUGCACUUCACUUCAAAUGAGGGAGCUGUCUAAAGCCGUUCCGUGUGUUCCCGUGAAAUCUCGCGGAAGUGCACGAGACGUGGUCAAAGUGCUCCGCAAGGAGACGUCACCAAACUUGACUUCUGUGUGGGACGCCACAUCAGGUGAAGAUCGAAUUUAUCAGCAGAUUACUUACAGACCGGAAGUCGACUUGUCUCGUAAUAGGAUUAUUUUGAUAUCUGGAAGCGGAGAUUUUGACAUUCCAAGAGGGCAAGAGAAAUUUAUCCAAGACCAAUGUCCGAUUAAAAAUUGUGAAAUACAUCGCGACGAUUCAAAGUCAUUGAAAGCCGAUGCAAGGCUUUUCAAUAUUCAAAUAAGUUACAGUGAAUUAGCUUUGUUCAAAAGAAACCCAGGUGAAAUUUGGAUCCUCUAUAUUUUGGAAGGACCAUUGGCUACGAUUGAUUACACUUUGUUGGGUGAGGUCUUCAACUGGACUGCGACUUAUCGCCAUGAUUCUACGAUCGUAGCACCGUAUGAAAAAUGGCAUGCAUUUCAAGAGGAAAAAAAGAACCAAACUUUGUCCGUGAAAAACUAUGCGUCGGGAAAGAAGAAACUGGCCGCUAUAUUUGUCUCCAACUGUGAGACCAGUAACAAUAGAAUGGGGUAUGUUCGCGAGUUAAAAAAAUACAUGACGGUCGAUGUGUAUGGCGCCUGUGGACACCAUCAGUGCGAUAGGUCUUCGGAGCUGGAGUGUUUCGAGAUGCUGAAGAAGGACUAUAAGUUUUAUCUAGCUUUUGAAAAUUCAAACUGUAGAGACUACAUCACGGAGAAGUUUUUCAGAAACGCACUAAUGAAUGACGUAGUUCCGGUGGCGAUGGGUGCACACCCAGACGACUAUGCAAGAUCCGCCCCGCCAAACUCAUUCAUACACGUUGAAGAUUUUGAAUCUCCUCAGCAUUUAGCGCGUUAUCUAAAAGUUUUAGACAAAAAUGAUGAACUUUAUAACGAUUACUUUAGAUGGAAGGGAACUGGAGAUUUCAUAGACACGAAAUUUUGGUGCAGAUUAUGUGCAAUGUUGAAUGACCUCAAUAAACCAGAGCUCAUUAUCCGCGAUAUUGCAGCAUGGUGGAGACAACCGGAAGUGUGUAUACGAGGAGACCAAAUAUGGCGGAGGUGAUGUUUCCUCAAUCUAGAUUUGUUUGUUCAAUUCAGCCCUUUACAGUUGAAAAUUAUUUGUUUGCUUUAUGAAAGUUAUAACCAUUGUGUUCAUGACGGCUUGUAGCGUCUAAAACCAAAUGAAAAGACGGGCGUUAACUAUUUGAGUAAAGUCGUUCGAUGACGACCCGUGACGUCAGACUUAUGAUGUUCGAUAAGGAACGACUCACGGUUGGUGAUAUUUAAUGUGAUAUGAGGUGGAAAUUGUACAUCAAAUUUGAUUCCAAAGAGUUUUUUUCUAUUCAUUUUACAUGUAUAUACAUGUAUCUACUAAGUAGAUUUGAUUUUAGUAAAUAAUUUUGAAAUGUUUUAAGUUAUAAACUUGUGAUGUUGC
rnacentral:misc_RNA from 1 species